rnacentral:rRNA from 1 species
AAAGGAAUAGACGGGGACCCGCACAAGCGGUGGAGCGUGUUGUUUAAUUCGAUGGUAAGCGAAGAACCUUACCCAGACUUGACAUCCUUGGAAGGCUUCCGAAAGGAAACUGUGCCCUUGGGAACCAAGUGACAGGUGUUGCAUGGCCGUCGUCAGCUCGUGUCGUGAGAUGUAUGGUUAAGUCCAUUAACGAGCGCAACCCUUAUGUUUAGUUGAAUUUCUCUAAACAGACUGCCCUGGCAACAGGGAGGAAGGAGGGGAUGACGUCAGGUCAGUAUUGCCCUUACGUCUGGGGCUACAAACACGCUACAAUGGCCGGUACAAAGGGCAGCCAACCCGCGAGGGGGAGCAAAUCCCAUCAAAACCGGUCUCAGUUCGGAUUGCAGGCUGAAACUCGCCUGCAUGAAGUCGGAAUCGCUAGUAACGGUGAGUCAGCACAUCACCGUGAAUACGUUCCCGGGUCUUGUACACACCGCCCGU